CAGACCCAGGGAUCAAAUGUGAGUCUCCUGCGGCACCUGCAUUGGCAGGCCAGUUCUUCACCACUGAAUUGUCAUAACUCUGCAAGAUGCUCCUAUGUGACAGACAAAUUUUAUCGUACGCGGAUGGUGCCGGAGAAAACAGGGCUCUGCAAACCAAGGGGACACACUUCAGUUCAGCAUUUCUAUCUCGUCAGGGGAGUUGGUGUGAAUACAGAAAUACAAGACAAUGGAAGUGGGGUCAAGUCCACACAGAAGUAGCCCACACACUCAUCAAAUGAGUCAUCUGUGUUCUGAAGGAACUGUGCCACCUAAUAGCAACACCUGAAGACUCUGCCAGACGGCAGAAAGUUCCAUCGGGUAUGCAAUGAAAAGAGCUCUAAAGUGAUUAACAUAAUGGUGGUGAUUACUCUGGGUCUGAUUUUUCAAGUGCCCUCUUCUGUACAUGUGGCUAAGAACACAUCGCUUGAAUGGAUACAGUUAAGAUUUUAACACAAAUAGAAGUGGGAGAUUGAAGACGGUUCAAGAUGUUCUUCAAUUGGGACUAAAAAAUGGCCGCUUAAAAUGA